AACGCACAUUGCGCCCGCCAGUAUUCUGGCGGGCAUGCCUGUCUGAGCGUCAUUUCAACCCUCAUACCCCCGGGUGUGGUGUUGGGGAUCGGCCUCCCGCCCUCUCGAGGGCGCGGCCGGCCCCUAAAUCUAGUGGCGGACCCGCUGUGGCCUCCUCUGCGUAGUAGUGAUACCCCGCACCGGAAAGCAGCGAGACCCUGCCGUAAAACCCCAACUCUUCUAAGGUUGACCUCAGAUCAGGUAGGAAUACCCGCUGAACUUAA
rnacentral:misc_RNA from 1 species